UUAAGCGACUAAGCGUACACGGUGGAUGCCCUGGCAGUCAGAGGCGAUGAAGGACGUGCUAAUCUGCGAUAAGCGUCGGUAAGGUGAUAUGAACCGUUAUAACCGGCGAUUUCCGAAUGGGGAAACCCAGUGUGUUUCGACACACUAUCAUUAACUGAAUCCAUAGGUUAAUGAGGCGAACCGGGGGAACUGAAACAUCUAAGUACCCCGAGGAAAAGAAAUCAACCGAGAUUCCCCCAGUAGCGGCGAGCGAACGGGGAGCAGCCCAGAGCCUGAAUCAGUGUGUGUGUUAGUGGAAGCGUCUGGAAAGGCGCGCGAUACAGGGUGACAGCCCCGUACACAAAAAUGCACAUGCUGUGAGCUCGAUGAGUAGGGCGGGACACGUGGUAUCCUGUCUGAAUAUGGGGGGACCAUCCUCCAAGGCUAAAUACUCCUGACUGACCGAUAGUGAACCAGUACCGUGAGGGAAAGGCGAAAAGAACCCCGGCGAGGGGAGUGAAAAAGAACCUGAAACCGUGUACGUACAAGCAGUGGGAGCACGCUUAGGCGUGUGACUGCGUACCUUUUGUAUAAUGGGUCAGCGACUUAUAUUCUGUAGCAAGGUUAACCGAAUAGGGGAGCCGAAGGGAAACCGAGUCUUAACUGGGCGUUAAGUUGCAGGGUAUAGACCCGAAACCCGGUGAUCUAGCCAUGGGCAGGUUGAAGGUUGGGUAACACUAACUGGAGGACCGAACCGACUAAUGUUGAAAAAUUAGCGGAUGACUUGUGGCUGGGGGUGAAAGGCCAAUCAAACCGGGAGAUAGCUGGUUCUCCCCGAAAGCUAUUUAGGUAGCGCCUCGUGAAUUCAUCUCCGGGGGUAGAGCACUGUUUCGGCAAGGGGGUCAUCCCGACUUACCAACCCGAUGCAAACUGCGAAUACCGGAGAAUGUUAUCACGGGAGACACACGGCGGGUGCUAACGUCCGUCGUGAAGAGGGAAACAACCCAGACCGCCAGCUAAGGUCCCAAAGUCAUGGUUAAGUGGGAAACGAUGUGGGAAGGCCCAGACAGCCAGGAUGUUGGCUUAGAAGCAGCCAUCAUUUAAAGAAAGCGUAAUAGCUCACUGGUCGAGUCGGCCUGCGCGGAAGAUGUAACGGGGCUAAACCAUGCACCGAAGCUGCGGCAGCGACGCUGAUGCGUUGUUGGGUAGGGGAGCGUUCUGUAAGCCUGCGAAGGUGUGCUGUGAGGCAUGCUGGAGGUAUCAGAAGUGCGAAUGCUGACAUAAGUAACGAUAAAGCGGGUGAAAAGCCCGCUCGCCGGAAGACCAAGGGUUCCUGUCCAACGUUAAUCGGGGCAGGGUGAGUCGACCCCUAAGGCGAGGCCGAAAGGCGUAGUCGAUGGGAAACAGGUUAAUAUUCCUGUACUUGGUGUUACUGCGAAGGGGGGACGGAGAAGGCUAUGUUGGCCGGGCGACGGUUGUCCCGGUUUAAGCGUGUAGGCUGGUUUUCCAGGCAAAUCCGGAAAAUCAAGGCUGAGGCGUGAUGACGAGGCACUACGGUGCUGAAGCAACAAAUGCCCUGCUUCCAGGAAAAGCCUCUAAGCAUCAGGUAACAUCAAAUCGUACCCCAAACCGACACAGGUGGUCAGGUAGAGAAUACCAAGGCGCUUGAGAGAACUCGGGUGAAGGAACUAGGCAAAAUGGUGCCGUAACUUCGGGAGAAGGCACGCUGGCGGUAGGUAAAGUCCCUCGCGGACGGCGCUGAAGCCAGUCGAAGAUACCAGCUGGCUGCAACUGUUUAUUAAAAACACAGCACUGUGCAAACACGAAAGUGGACGUAUACGGUGUGACGCCUGCCCGGUGCCGGAAGGUUAAUUGAUGGGGUCAGCGCAAGCGAAGCUCUUGAUCGAAGCCCCGGUAAACGGCGGCCGUAACUAUAACGGUCCUAAGGUAGCGAAAUUCCUUGUCGGGUAAGUUCCGACCUGCACGAAUGGCGUAAUGAUGGCCAGGCUGUCUCCACCCGAGACUCAGUGAAAUUGAACUCGCUGUGAAGAUGCAGUGUACCCGCGGCAAGACGGAAAGACCCCGUGAACCUUUACUAUAGCUUGACACUGAACAUUGAGCCUUGAUGUGUAGGAUAGGUGGGAGGCUUUGAAGUGUGGACGCCAGUCUGCAUGGAGCCGACCUUGAAAUACCACCCUUUAAUGUUUGAUGUUCUAACGUUGACCCGUAAUCCGGGUUGCGGACAGUGUCUGGUGGGUAGUUUGACUGGGGCGGUCUCCUCCUAAAGAGUAACGGAGGAGCACGAAGGUUGGCUAAUCCUGGUCGGACAUCAGGAGGUUAGUGCAAUGGCAUAAGCCAGCUUGACUGCGAGCGUGACGGCGCGAGCAGGUGCGAAAGCAGGUCAUAGUGAUCCGGUGGUUCUGAAUGGAAGGGCCAUCGCUCAACGGAUAAAAGGUACUCCGGGGAUAACAGGCUGAUACCGCCCAAGAGUUCAUAUCGACGGCGGUGUUUGGCACCUCGAUGUCGGCUCAUCACAUCCUGGGGCUGAAGUAGGUCCCAAGGGUAUGGCUGUUCGCCAUUUAAAGUGGUACGCGAGCUGGGUUUAGAACGUCGUGAGACAGUUCGGUCCCUAUCUGCCGUGGGCGCUGGAGAACUGAGGGGGGCUGCUCCUAGUACGAGAGGACCGGAGUGGACGCAUCACUGGUGUUCGGGUUGUCAUGCCAAUGGCACUGCCCGGUAGCUAAAUGCGGAAGAGAUAAGUGCUGAAAGCAUCUAAGCACGAAACUUGCCCCGAGAUGAGUUCUCCCUGACCCUUUAAGGGUCCUGAAGGAACGUUGAAGACGACGACGUUGAUAGGCCGGGUGUGUAAGCGCAGCGAUGCGUUGAGCUAACCGGUACUAAUGAACCGUGAGGCUUAACCUU
rnacentral:rRNA from 1 species